CGCACGGACAAAUAUCGAUCGAAGGGAAAACCAAUCGCUAGAAAAUAUGGAAGGAGCCAACUCAAUGCACGCAACGCACGAUGGAGAAAAAAUCAGGAGUCUAACUGCCCGCACGAUCGGCCAGGGGAUGCCACACACCCAAACAACGAGCGACUUUUCGAGAUAUCCUGCGUCGCGCCGCCGAGAAAGACGGUGUGCCUCGAGCUGCCCCGUUCCUCGGCCGCAAGGACGGCUGCAGGUCCCCGUCCCCUCCUCCAACUAGAAGCCGGUGCUGUUGCAGAGGUGGAUCUGUCCUACAGCUCGCAUUCAGUCCUCGCCUACGUGCUCUCCCGCCUCUUCUUGAUCAAGAUGGAUUCCAGAUGCUCUCCUUACUGCGCGACCGCGAGCGGCGGCGGCCGCCGCCAUGGCCGUCUCGGCGCUGGCCCCGUGCCAGUUUGUGGAGCCAUGUCGCGCCUUCGCUGCGAGAAGCAGCUGCCUGCGACCGUGCCCCUGCCCUCUUUCUCCCCAGCGUGCUCCUAUUUACUCCUAUCCCCUGUCAGCCGCAAGAGUGAUGCCCAUCGACAACAAAGCCGCCAGAUCAUCUACGGGUUCUCGUAGGUGAGUUUCCCUCUCUCCAUUGAUACCCGUUCAUUGUUCUGAUGGCAUAUCAUUUGAUUUGAUUCACGCGCCUGCAAAAAAAUUUAUGAACUCUAGCAUGGGGAAUGAACUUGGGUGAUGGAUUUACCUUCACGGGAUGCAAUUUUAUGAUCCAUUCUUAACUCUAAUGGCACUAUGGCAAUGAAGGUUGAUCUUAGGCUCUUUAUGGUGGAUAGCUUGAUGUUCUUGAAGCGCCCAAGUCUGGUUGUGACAUGUGCCUCCGCUUGGCAACGCUAAAGUUGCCAUGUGGUGUAUUGGAAGACUGAGAUGCCGGAUGCCAGAGCCCAUCGAUUACAGUAGUUCGGUGCCCAUCAUCAACAUCGUGGACUCAGGUGUCUGCUAUACCUUAACCCCCCCCCCCCCCGCAACUCCUCUUCGGCAUAACCCCGAGCACAUCAACACUGCACUGCUGCUCCUAUCUUGCUAACAAUGUAGACAGAGAAGGUGCAGUCCGGGGUAGCUAGCUAAUUGAAAUGGGGAUAAUCGAGGCUAAUAGUGAGAUGCUGCAGCCCCUGCUGUCUCCCUCACAAUCAGGAAGGCGAGGUGAGUGCUACCUUUCUCCUGUGAACACAACACAUGUGUAACAUUUUUCCUAUAACACUAAUUUCCUAUUUGAAUGUACUUCCUCUUUAAACUAAUAUAAGACUAUUCUUGAAACUUCCGACGACCAUGUUCCACUGAGAAUAACUUUCACAUUGCCUCCACUUGUUUGACGAUUUUUCCUAUUUAUAUUCUCAAGCAAAAAAUAUUGUGUGCAUGCACCAUGCAGUGGCUCUGGUUUCCUACAAAAGGUAUUUAGUUGAUUGCUUUCUUGAAUCUGAUAUCUGACUAGAGCAUGCCAUUCAAUCAUGUUACUGUUCUUAGGUUAAAUUUGGUGGACAGACAGCACAGAUAUAUUUAUCCACAGUUAGCAUACUUUGUUUGGAGUCUUAUGGUGGUGGCGAACAACAUCGGCGGGCGAGGGGAGAGGGCUAAAGUUUGCCGGCCAGGAUGAGGCAGACAUCUUGGCGCUCACGUGGAAGGAAGAUGACACAGGUUGGUCCGGCGAACAAUGGCCUGAAUUAUUUGUUAUUGAUCUCUAGGCUCUAGCAGAUCUCUGAAAUGGAGAAAAUAAUACUGCUUCAUCUUCUUGUGUUCUGCAUGCCUUAUUGAUUCCUCCCUCGUCGGUUGCUGGCCAUGUGCUUGCUUGCCAGUCACGGCUGUCGGAUGCGACACAAACGGCUUCUUCCUUUAGGAGACGAGGACAACAAAUCUGAAAUUCCAACAGCAUUGCUCCCGCUGAGCAAACCAGGUAUCAUUUGUACAUGUACACUUAGCUCCAUCCUUGUCAUCAUAGAUGCUUGCCUGUAUCCAACUCCAAUUGCUACCAUAUAUUCUGAACUCUGUUGAUAUCUUCUUCUAAUGUGCUCACUGGAUGUAUAGAUCAGAAAAGUGCAUGUGUUUGGGUCCAACGAAAAGAGGUAAGGCAUAAAAUGCAUUCUCCUUAGCACAACUAUGGAACAUGGUGAAGAAAGGUGUUAUUUUUAACAUAAGGUUUUCUUUUAUUAGCAAGUAAAUUAGCUUCACACCAAGGAUGGUAGUGUUUGCUGGGCUGUCUUAAUCGAACAUGGAGGAUGCUGGAGCGUUUUCUAGGUUGUGAAUUUUUAUGGCCGAUUGAAUGAGGGCUAUUUACCAUCAUAUAUCGUUUAUCCUUCUAACAAUAAUCUUUGUGUGAUGAACUAUGUUAUCCAUGUUCAAUUACUUGAUAUCUAAUAACAUUGGACUUGUAAGGAAGUACUCCUCUAAAGAUGUAAUAUACUUUUGUGGACUGGCUUUGUAAUUAGGUUGAUUUAUAUACCAUCACUUUCCCAGCACCUGCAGUGAUCUGGUUGCUAUAUACACGUAUCCAGACUUCCCGUGGGGUAGGGCAUGAAUUACAAUAUAGUGAGAUGUUUCUCAACAAAAGAAUCGCGGUAGCCUUUCCUGCAGCAGAUAAGGUGGUCAGACUUCCAGAGAGCAAGCAUGAAAGAACAUAUGGAAUUGGCUGACUUAAUCCUCUAUUUAGUUAUUUAUGUAAACAUGACCUUCACUAUUCAGAUUAAUAAAAGUCUACAAUUAACCUAUGUUGCGUAUUUUGUUAACUAUUUUUACUCCAAUGUGAGACAAGAUCAACGAAAACCUUUCCAAGAUUUCAAAGAAUCGACUCCUAUAUGAGACAAGAUCAUGGUCUAGAAGGAUGCGGAUUCAGUGAGUUAACUGCAACUGACUUUGGAUGUAAUGAUGCACUCAAAGUCAGUGACACUGAAUCCCAGUCC